rnacentral:rRNA from 1 species
CCUACGGGAGGCAGCAGUGAGGAAUAUUGGUCAAUGGACGCAAGUCUGAACCAGCCAUGCCGCGUGCAGGAAGACGGCUCUAUGAGUUGUAAACUGCUUUUGUACGAGGGUAAACGCGGAUACGCGUAUCUGUCUGAAAGUAUCGUACGAAUAAGGAUCGGCUAACUCCGUGCCAGCAGCCGCGGUAAUACGGAGGAUUCAAGCGUUGUCCGGAUUUAUUGGGUUUAAAGGGUGCGUAGGCGGUCGGAUAAGUUAGUGGUGAAAGCCCGAGGCUCAACUUCGGAAUUGCCUCUGAAACGGUUCGGCUAGAGAGUAGUUGCGGUAGGCGGAAUGUAUGGUGUAGCGGUGAAAUGCUUAGAGAUCAUACAGAACACCGAUUGCGAAGGCAGCUUACCAAGCUACUUCUGACGUUGAGGCACGAAAGCGUGGGGAGCAAACAGGAUUAGAUACCCUUGUAGUC